UACGUAGGGUGCAAGCGUUGUCCGGAAUUAUUGGGCGUAAGGAGCUCGUAGGCGGUUUGUCGCGUCUGCUGUGAAAACUCGGGGCUUAACCCCGGGCCUGCAGUGGGUACGGGCAGACUAGAGUGCGGUAGGGGAGACUGGAAUUCCUGGUGUAGCGGUGAAAUGCGCAGAUAUCAGGAGGAACACCAACGGCGAAGGCAGCUCGCUGGGACGGUACUGACGCUAAGGCGCGAAAGCGUGGGGAGCAAACAGG
rnacentral:rRNA from 1 species